rnacentral:rRNA from 1 species
UGGGGAAUAUUGCACAAUGGGCGCAAGCCUGAUGCAGCCAUGCCGCGUGUGUGAAGAAGGCCUUCGGGUUGUAAAGCACUUUCAGCGAGGAGGAAGGUGGUGAGCUUAAUACGCUCAUCAAUUGACGUUACUCGCAGAAGAAGCACCGGCUAACUCCGUGCCAGCAGCCGCGGUAAUACGGAGGGUGCAAGCGUUAAUCGGAAUUACUGGGCGUAAAGCGCACGCAGGCGGUUUGUUAAGUCAGAUGUGAAAUCCCCCGGGCUCAACCUGGGAACUGCAUUUGAAACUGGCAAGCUAGAGUCUCGUAGAGGGGGGCUAGAAUUCCAGGUGUAGCGGUGAAAUGCGUAGAGAUCUGGAGGAAUACCGGUGGCGAAGGCGGCCCCCCUGGACGAAGACUGACGCUCAGGUGCGAAAAGGCGUGGGGGCAGCAAAACAGGAUUAGAUA